rnacentral:tRNA from 1 species
GGAGAGGUGUCAGAGUGGCCGAAUGAGCAUCUUUGCUAAAGAUGUAAGGGUGAAAGCCCUUCGAGGGUUCGAAUCCCUCCCUCUCCGCCA